GACGAGCCACACAAACGUUAUUCGGAAUCACUGGGCUUAAAGGGUGCGUAGGCUGUGCAGAAAGUUGGGUGUGAAAUCCGACAGCUUAACUGUCGAAGUGCACUCAAUACUACUGUGCUAGAGGAAGACAGAGGUAAGCGGAACUGAGGGUGGAGCGGUGAAAUGCGUUGAUAUCCUCAGGAACACCGGUGGCGAAGGCGGCUUACUGGGUCUUUUCUGACGCUGAGGCACGAAAGCUAGGGGAGCGAACGGG
rnacentral:rRNA from 1 species